GUUUGGAGUCGUGUAGGUGCAUGGUCAGCCUGAUGGAUAAGGAUGGCAGUGCACGGCUGGGAAUUGUGGAGUUCCAGAUUCUAUGGAAUAAAAUUAGGAAGUGGUUGGGCAUUUUCAGACAGUUUGAUCUGGACAAAUCCGGCACAAUGAGCUCGUAUGAAAUGCGCCUCGCCGUGGAGUCAGCUGGU